rnacentral:tRNA from 1 species
UUCAGGAUGGCAGAGUGGUUAUGGCAUCGGAUUUCUGAUUCGAUCGACUGUUGUGUCAACAGGUUCGAUUCCUGCUCCUGAAC